rnacentral:rRNA from 1 species
UACGUAGGCAGCGAGCGUUAUCCGGAAUGAUUGGGCGGAAAGCGUCCGCAGGUGGCUGUGUAAGUCUGCUGUUAAAGAGUGAGGCUCAACCUCAUAAAGGCAGUGGAAACUACAUGGCUAGAGUGCGUUCGGGGCAGAGGGAAUUCCUGGUGUAGCGGUGAAAUGCGUAGAGAUCAGGAAGAACACCGGUGGCGAAAGCGCUCUGCUAGGCCGCAACUGACACUGAGGGACGAAAGCUAGGGGAGCGAAUGGG